ACUCGAGUGGCGAACGGGUGAGUAACACGUGGGUGAUCUGCCCUUCACUUCGGGAUAAGCCUGGGAAACUGGGUCUAAUACUGGAUAGGACCAUCGUUUAGUGUCGGUGGUGGAAAGUUUUUCGGUGGAGGAUGAGCUCGCGGCCUAUCAGCUUGUUGGUGGGGUAAUGGCCUACCAAGGCGACGACGGGUAGCCGGCCUGAGAGGGUGGACGGCCACAUUGGGACUGAGACACGGCCCAG
rnacentral:rRNA from 1 species